rnacentral:rRNA from 1 species
GGAAAAGAAACCAACAGGGAUUGCCUCAGUAACGGCGAGUGAAGCGGCAACAGCUCAAAUUUGAAAUCUGGCCUCUUUGGGGUCCGAGUUGUAAUUUGUAGAGGAUGUUUCGGGUACCGCCUCGGUCUAAAUUUCUUGGAACAGAAUGUCAGAGAGGGUGAGAAUCCCGUCUUGGACCGGCGGUAGGGCCCAUGUGAAACUCCUUCGACGAGUCGAGUUGUUUGGGAAUGCAGCUCAAAAUGGGUGGUAUAUUUCAUCUAAAGCUAAAUAUUGGCCAGAGACCGAUAGCGCACAAGUAGAGUGAUCGAAAGAUGAAAAGAACUUUGAAAAGAGAGUUAAACAGUAUGUGAAAUUGUUGAAAGGGAAGCGCUUGCAACCAGACUUGAGCGCGGCGGUUCCCCCUUCCUUUUGGUUGGGUUACUCCGUCGUGUCCAGGCCAACAUCGGUUCUGGGGGUCGGUUAAAGGCUUGGGGAAUGUACCUACGUCUUCGGGCGUAGACUUAUAGCCCCGAGUGUCAUGCGACCUCCCGGGACCGAGGAACGCGCUUCGGCUCGGAUGUUGGCGUAAUGGUUGUAAGCGGCCCGUCU